GAUGAACGCUGGCGGCGUGCCUAAUACAUGCAAGUCGAGCGAACAGACCAGGCUCUUGCUCCUCUGACGUUAGCGGCGGACGGGAGAGUAACACGUGGAUAACCUACCUAUAAGACUGGGAUAACUUCGGGAAACCGGAGCUAAUACCGGAUGAUAUAUUGAACCGCAUUGUUCAAUAGUUAGAGACGGUUUUGCUUUCACUUAUAGCUGGAUCCGCGCCGCAUUAGCUAGUUGGUAAGGUAAAGGAUUACCAAGGCAACGAUGCGUAGCCGACCUGAGGGGGGGGUCGCCCACACGGGAAGAGAGACACGGCCGAGACUCCUGCGGUGUGCAGCAGUCGGGAAUCUGACGCAAUGGGGGAAAGUCUGACAGAGCAACGCGGCGUCAAGGAUGAAGGUGCUAGGAUCGGAAAACUCUGUUAUGAGUGAAGAACAAAUGUGGAAGUAACCAUGAAGGUAUUGACGGUACCGGGUCAGAAAGCCCCGGCUAACUACGUG
rnacentral:rRNA from 1 species